rnacentral:rRNA from 1 species
AUUGAACGCUGGCGGCAUGCUUUAUACAUGCAAGUCGAACGGCAGCGCGGGCUUCGGCCUGGCGGCGAGUGGCGAACGGGUGAGUAAUACAUCGGAACGUGCCCAGUAGUGGGGGAUAGCUCGGCGAAAGCCGGAUUAAUACCGCAUACGACCUGAGGGUGAAAGCGGGGGAUCUUCGGACCUCGCGCUAUUGGAGCGGCCGAUGGCAGAUUAGCUAGUUGGUGGGGUAAAGGCCUACCAAGGCGACGAUCUGUAGCUGGUCUGAGAGGACGACCAGCCACACUGGGACUGAGACACGGCCCAGACUCCUACGGGAGGCAGCAGUGGGGAAUUUUGGACAAUGGGCGAAAGCCUGAUCCAGCAAUGCCGCGUGCGUGAUGAAGGCCUUCGGGUUGUAAAGCACUUUUGGCGGGAACGAAAAGGACUGUGCCAAUACCACGGUUCGAUGACGGUACCCGCAGAAUAAGCACCGGCUAACUACGUG